rnacentral:rRNA from 1 species
GGUGAACGGUCGCGUAACACGUAAGCAACCUGCCGAAAAGACCGGGACAACAUCUCGAAAGGGGUGCUAAUGCCGGAUGUGGCCAUCGAUGGGCAUCCAUUGAUGAUUAAACCGAGCAAUCGGCUUUUCGAGGGGCUUGCGGCCUAUACAGCUAGUUGGUGGGGUAACGGCCUACCAAGGCGACGACGGGUAGCUGGUCUGAGAGGACGGCCAGCCGGACUGGGAGGGAGAUACGGCCCAGACUCCUACGGGGGGCAGCAAUUAGGAAUCUUGCACAAUGGGCGAAAGCCUGAUGCAGCGACGCCGCGUGGAGGAGGAAGGCCUUCGGGUUGUAAACUCCUUUUGUCGGGGAAGAAACAAAUGACGGUACCCGACGAAUAAGCUCCGGCUAACUCCGUGCCAGCCGCCGCGG